UGGGGAAUUUUGCACAAUGGGGGAAACCCUGAUGCAGCGACGCCGCGUGAUUUAGAAGGCCUUCGGGUUGUAAAAAUCUUUUCUAUGGGAAGAAAAUGACAGUACCAUAGGAAUAAGGACCGGCUAAUUACGUGCCAGCAGCCGCGGUAAUACGUAAGGUCCGAGCGUUGUCCGGAAUCAUUGGGCGUAAAGGGUACGUAGGCGGAUAAGCAAGUUAGAAGUGAAAUCCUAUAGCUCAACUAUAGUAAGCUUUUAAAACCGCUCAUCUUGAGGUAUGGAAGGGAAAGUGGAAUUCCUAGUGUAGCGGUGAAAUGCGCAGAUAUUAGGAGGAAUACCGGUGGCGAAGGCGACUUUCUGGCCAUAACCUGACGCUGAGGUACGAAAGCGUGGGUAGCAAACAGG
rnacentral:rRNA from 1 species